AAAAGUUGUUAUAUUUAUUGAAAUCUAAGUUUUUCCUCUUUAAAACAUAAAGAGAUGUACAAAUAUGGUUUAUCCGGUGGAGGAAAGUCAAAUUUAAUUUACACUUAAGCUUAAGCUCGUGCGGAACAAUAAUCAAAUAAGUUCACCUGCUUAUAUGCGCGAACAACCUUCGUACUAUACAUACAUACUUAUUUAUGUUGAUUAUGUGUGUUGGCAUAAUGCGAAUGUGUGAAAACCGUUGUUAUCAGCAUUCGCCAGAUAUAUUUCAUUCUCUCAUUGUGGUGGCAUUGCGUGACUGAAUACUCAAACACAACUGUACAUGACAUCGACAUUUGUAGCAGGUGUUUUUAGAAGAAUUCAACAAUUACCAUUAUUUUGGAUUUAUGAGGCCAUCCGGUCUACGUUUUAUGAAAAAUAUUCACCGUAAUUUUAGACCAAUUGACAAACAAAUUGACUUAAUUUCGGAAGAAGAAGAAUUUGGGCUUCGAUUACAUCCAAAUUACUUUAGAUCAUUUGAGGAUACAACUCUGUGUGGCUUGUCUCACGACUAAUAGUCGUAACCGCGACGAGCUACUGCUCGCGCCGAGAUAAUCCAGAAAUGUGACCACAUGCGAUGUGCAUUGGCCUAGAGUGUAUUUGCGUUGCUGUGUAGAUGGUGGAAGUGUUGUGGUUACUGCAGUCAUAGAUUGGUUAGCAAAACCAAUUUCGACAUCGAUCCAUAUUACCACCAUCGGCAACAUCAAAGGUGCCCAUCAACCGGCGUGUAGGCAAAGCGAGCAAAUUGUUAACAGUAAACGAUAUAGCGAAUUCGAAUUCGCGUGAUAUUCUAAUGCCACAUAGCGAUUCAUGCGAAUAUUGGUAUGUAUUUUCACAACUUCGUAACAAUAAAAGGUAAUUGAAAAUACUCAAAACGGAAAACAAAAAUCCCAAUGGCCGGCUAGUCAAAAUCAUUUUCGGGAAUAUUUCCUUUAUUUUUUGUAAGUUUUACAAUAUCUGUAUGAGCUUUAGUAUUUGAUGCUGAAAGCGAUUAAACCGCUUCAUGCGCACAUGUAUAUGCUAGUUUUGGUUUAUUUAAUUUAAUUUUCGUUUAUUUUAAUUGAAAUUUGACAAUAUUUUGUUUUUUUGUAAUUUUUUUUUAUUUUAUUGUAUUGAAACAAAGAAAUAUGUAUGCAUAAAUCGUUUCCUGUUCCUCGAAUACCAAAUCGGCAAUGAAAGAAAUGUUGUGUUUGAUAAUUAUAAAAUAAACUUAGUGUAACAUUUUGUUGAAUAAAUUAUUUGACAACAGCGUCUUAUUUUCGAUAACAAAAAUAAUUUUUAAGCACAAUUAUCGUUACAUAAAAAGACUAGACGAUCAUCUGAAACUCUAGUAUCAUAUGCGACAGCAUAUGUUGAUACAGUUUUCAAAAAGAGAGAGGAGUUAUAUGGUCGGAAUACGGAGUGAAUCAUGAACCUGCACCAAAAAGUUAGAAGUUGAAUCAAAUAAAUCCGACCAUUUGAAAAAACAGUAUUUAUGAGCUAAAUGCUUGUAUCUAUUUGUAUUCUAUUUUAAUUGCAUUUCUACUCUUUUAUUUUAUUUCAUUCAGAAUUUGUAAUUGUUUUAAUACCACUACCUUAAUUUACUGCAAUAACUUCUAACUACAUAUGAGUGACACACGGUUUUGAACUAUGGGAAUUGAACUUAAUUAAAAUGUUUUUACUACAUCCAUACAUUUAUUGGAAAAUAUGCACAUUUGUAAAAUUUAAUUAAAUUGAGCGCAUGUGUUGAGGGCGCAGCCAGCUGCAGAAAGGUUUUUACGCACACCUAAAUUGUCAAUUAAAGUAAAUUCUGCGAUUUAUUGCAAAUUAAAUGUAUAAAUACACGAAUAAGGUGAAAAUUGUAGGGAUGGAGUUUUGUGAAUAGGGAAGCAAAAUGCCAUAUUGGCUAAACUUUCUUUUUUUUGCCGCUGAAAUUUAAUUACCCUACGUGUGUGAGAAAUUUUUGUUUUUUACUAAGCAAUACUUGUACCAUAAAUUGUUCUAUAAUUAAAGUGUCAAACUCAAAAAGUUCGCGAUUUUGUAGAAUUAGUUUAUUCGUUUGUUUGCAAUCGUACGUAAAAGUACAGUCGUGCUAAAAACUUAACUUGUCUUCAUUUGGACAGGAGUACUUCUUUGGUUUGUUAGCAAAAAUUAUGGCAAAAUCUUGGUGUGAAUAAUUAAAGUGAAAUUUCUUGUGAUUUGGGUGAACAAACUCAGAUAAAUUAUAUUUCCUGCCCCUCUGAAUAUCCAAGUUUACGUACGAUGAGUUUAGCAAUUCCAUAUGUUCUUUCAAAAACUACGAUAUACAUAUGUAUAUCAAAAAUUAAGCAAUUGUGCUAAUUUUUUUUUAUUUUAACCAAUAAAGGAGUAUAUUCAAUGAUAGAAGUGUUGCUAUAUUGAGAAAAGUGAGGAACAAAUUUGCACAUAUUUCAACUAUUAGCCAAUUUGAAAUUAGUAUGUUCAACUGAUCAAUGAACAAGAAGAAACUAAGUUAAAUAAAGUUUAAGCAGGUCAAGUACUCGUUACUGCAGCAAACAUUAGCUACAGUGAGAAAAACGAUAAGAUAAGUGUUGUAGCU